CGGGUAAAACCUGAUGAACUGAAACAUCUAAGUAGUCAGAGGAAAAGAAAGUAAAAACGAUUACCCUAAGUAGCGGCGAGCGAACGGGGACGAAAGCCUAAAUCAUGUAAGUGUCUAAGGAUGCAGCCGUUGCUUGCAUGAGGUAGUGGGAAGUUGCUUGAAGAACUGCAAGUUAUUCAGCGAUGUUAUUUCAACCAAUUAGAAUAAGCUGGAAAGCUUAACCAUAGAAGGUGAUAGUCCUGUACAGGUAAAUUGGAAUAUGCGCGUGACUCUCCCGAGUAGCACGGAACACGAGGAAUUCUGUGUGAAUCUGCGAGGACCAUAUCUCGUAAGGCUAAAUACUCUUAUUAACCGAUAGCGUAUAGUACCGUGAGGGAAAGGUGAAAAGAACCCCGGGAGGGGAGUGAAAUAGAACCUGAAAUCGUGUGCUUACAAGCGGUCAGAGCCCUUCGGGGUGAUGGCGUGCCUUUUGGAGAAUGAUCCUGCGAGUUACGUUCAGUGGCGAGGUUAAGUAUACCGGAGCCGCAGGGAAACCGAGUCUUAAUAAGGUCGACGCGGCCG
rnacentral:rRNA from 1 species